GAGGAUGACCUGUGGUUCAAGUGUGACUAGCAGUUGGUUCACGCCAGGCUGGCACGUGAGACCGGCGCGGCUGAGACGUGACUCAGGUGUGGCUCACACGUUAUGCAGGCAUGGCUGACACAUGACUCAGGUGAGGUGGCCACGUCACACAGGCGUGCAUGUCAUGUCAGCUGGCUGUGGUUCACACAUGGCUCAUGCAUGGCCUUCGUGUGGUUCAGGGAUGGCUGGUCAGGGUUCAUGCAUGGGUGGCUGGUGGCUCAGGCGUGGCUGAUAUGUGACACAGGCAUGUGUGAAACAUGAACCUGGGGUGGCUCUCACAUGUCUCAGUCAUAGCUGACACAUGACUCAGGCAUGCAUCGCACAGGAUGCAUGUGUGGAAGACAUGCGGUCACACGUGUGUGACAUGCCAUACAGGUGUGGCUCCCACGUGACUCACAGGUUCCUGAAAAAUGGCUCCUGCAUACUCAGUCAUGGCUGUCACGUGGCUCCCGCAUGGCGCCGCUGUGUUUCAUGUGUGGCUGACCUGUGGUUCAUGUGCGGUUCAAGCAUAGAUCAUGUGUGUUUCACAGGUGGUUCAGAUGUGCUUCAAGGGUGUCUCACAUGUGGAUCAUGCAUCGCUCACACAUGGUUUGCAUGUAAUUCAGGCAUGGCUCACGCACAACUUGUCUGGGUCCCAAAUGGUAGAGGACACUUUCAUAAGUGGUUCAGGCAUAGCUCAGCCAUGGCUCACACGCGACGCAGGCGUUCCACAGCACUGGCUCCUACGUAUCAGACACAUGAUUCAGGCUUUUCCCAUGCAUGGCUCAUGUGUGGCACAUGCACAGCUGUGGUACUGCUCAAGCGUGACUCACCUGUGUUUGUGGCAUGGGUGGCACGUGGUUCAGGCAUGGCAGGCAAGUUGUGCCAGUGUGGCUGACACGUACUUCGAGUCAUGUCUGACACGAGAUUCAGGCAAUCUUGAAGUGUGUUUCAGGCAUGGGAUUCAGGUGUGUCAGACACGGAUUCCAGUGGUAUGUGAUGCUUCAUUCAGGCCGCAGUGACACGUUCUUGCUGUGUGGCUGACACUUGGUGUGCCGAAGUUGACGCGUGGCUCAGGCAUGCCUGACAGGUGGUUCAGAUGUGGGUGACAGGGAUUCAAGAGUGCCUGGCAAUUUUCUGAUGUGGGGUUGACACAUGAGUCAGGCAUGGCUCACACGCAACUCAGGCAUUCAUCGCACAUUAUCCAUGCGUGGCAGGCAUGUGGUCACACGUGGGACA
rnacentral:lncRNA from 1 species